GUAGUUUCAAUGCCUUAGUGAUGCGCGAAACUCGCCUUCUAAGCGAUAGGUCGCAGGUUCGAGCCCUGCUGGGGUCGCCA
rnacentral:tRNA from 1 species